rnacentral:rRNA from 1 species
CCUAGCACAUGCAAGCCGAGCGGUAGAGAUUCUUCGGAAUCUUGAGAGCGGCGUACGGGUGCGGAACACGUGUGCAACCUGCCUUUAUCAGGGGGAUAGCCUUUCGAAAGGAAGAUUAAUACCCCAUAAUAUAUUAACUGGCAUCAGUGAAUAUUGAAAACUACGGUGGAUAGAGAUGGGCACGCGCAAGAUUAGCUAGUUGGUGAGGUAACGGCUCACCAAGGCGACGAUCUUUAGGGGGCCUGAGAGGGUGAUCCCCCACACUGGUACUGAGACACGGACCAGACUCCUACGGGAGGCAGCAGUGAGGAAUAUUGGACAAUGGGUGGAAGCCUGAUCCAGCCAUCCCGCGUGCAGGAAGACGGCCCUAUGGGUUGUAAACUGCUUUUAUCUGGGGAUAAACCUACUUACGUGUAAGUAGCUGAAGGUACCAGAAGAAUAAGCACCGGCUAACUCCGUGCCAGCAGCCGCGGUAAUACGGAGGGUGCAAGCGUUAUCCGGAUUUAUUGGGUUUAAAGGGUCCGUAAGCGGACUAGUAAGUCAGUGGUGAAAUCCGACAGCUUAACUGUCGAACUGCCAUUGAUGCUGCUAGUCUUGAGUGAAGUUGAAGUGGCUGGAAUAAGUAGUGUAGGCGGAAACUGCAUGGAAUUCUACGCCAACGCCGAAUGGGAAUGGGGGGCACGGAGCCGUAGUGACGCUGAAUGGACAAAACAAGAAGAUCCAGCCUGGAUAUUUGCCCGGGGAGGCGGGGCGGAGGGAAGGGU